AUGAAGGAGGUCCUACUCGCUCUGCCGCAGAAAUGUGUCCGGCGAAAGGGACGGGCGGCUAGUUGCGCGUGCGCCGGAGCCUCCGCCGUCGCCGGCGCGGCCGCCCUCAUCAGUCUCCCCGCGGCGGGGAAGCGGUUCGCGUGUGCAACUCCGUGUCGGCUGCGGGCUCCGAGCCUUGCGUCGCACACGAAUAUUUUUAGAUAACAGCACGAAUAAUUUAUUUGGAAGGUAGUGAUCGCGCACACUUUUGCGGAUAUCGGUAUCAGCGCAUGCGGGUUCGCGUGUGCUGCACAUUGCGGCGGCGGCGGUCAGGCACAGCCACCGUUGGCGAAGUCCCGAUAGGUAAGCUGCGCACUUCCUGCGCGCGCCGCCAUGUUCGGUCGGAACGUCACUUCCGCCGGGGCCGGAACCGCCGCGAGCCGAGCGGGCUGCGCCACGGGCCCUGCGGCGCUGCGCGCGCGCACCGACGGCACUCCACUCGCGCUCAGGUCAAUGAGCGACGGCUCUCGAUUCAUAAAAUGUCGGUCGUCCCAUUCACGCCGCAGCGCGAUGCUACGACCGUUCACUCGUGACCCUCGCGUCUUCGAAUAUUCAUGUCUCCCUCGAUAACCUCUGACUUCUUUUUGUAUUAUCACGUUGUUUAGUGAACGACUGCUAGUUGAGACCGGACUUCGUGCGAUGUGUUGGAAACUCAAGUGUUCAUUCGUUAAAAAAGCAAUGUGAAUUUUAUAGUGCACAGUGGAUUUUCAAAGUGAUUUAACAAACAGUAUCACUGGAAUGUUACCCUCAUUGGCAGCUGGCGCACGUCGCUACUGCACAACAUGCAUCCGUGAAGCCUGCAACUUCUACUCCAUGGAAGUUAUUGUUUCCACCACUACCAUUGCUGAUGGCGCCGGGGGCAGGAGUCCAGCUCGCCGAGUCCUGAGUCAGCAUGAUGUCAUGCAGUGAUGCGCUAAUGGGAGCGUCCCGCGGCACGUCACAUCCCAUUCCCGCCGCAUACUUCGCCCAAUCGAGCGAUGACAAAUCCAUUCAUAUUCUUCCAUUGUGCCUAACUGUUAUGUUUGAAGCUAGAUUCUUGCAAUUCCAACGUAAUUAAUGUUCAUAAACACGAGCCCCCGUCGCCACGAGAUAAUUGGCUAUCUGCUAUAAAAACGAUCAAAUUGCAAAAGUUAAUAGCUCAAUAUGUUCGAGAAAAAAGAAGACCCAAGAAAGAAGACAGAAGAAGAUCGUGAUAGAAGAUAAAAGGAAUUACGAAACUGGUUUUCAUAAUGAUUUGACAGAUUGUUCCAUAUUCUGAGAUCAUUGUGAAAGCUGAUUUUGUUCCUAUGUCAUCGGUCAAAGGCGAACCUUCGUGGCAGUCUUCAAUCUAGAGCACAGAAAACCAACCCACCGUUACUGGACAGCACAGAAUUCAAUCUAAUGUGGAUGGACAGUCGGACAUGGACACUUAAUAUUUUAUUUUACUGUGUGUGUCUAUUUCUAAAAUCUCUUUAUAAUGUUCUGCUGUAUUAUACUAUAUUUAUUACAAAGCCUAUAUUAUAUUCAUAUAUGUAAUGAUGAUCGGAUGCAUGUAACUUGAGAAAAAAGCCACUAAUAGGUAUGAAUGUUUUUUACAAAUACCCAAUGCUCAAAUAACUACGAAUGUACUGACAAAUUUUUCACUAGCGAUCCGCCGAAUAACGGGAUAAAAUAUUUUAUUUCAUUUAUAGUUUAUCGGCUAAACAGAAAACGUAGCAAAAAUAGUAACUUAAAGCUAUAUAGAAAUCUGCAAUUGUAGAAAUGUUUUAAACAAUAAUGAACCCAUAUAUGACCUAAAUAUUACACUUAAGGAUAAAUUAAACGUACAAUUAAAGAAAAACCAGUCAGUAUGUACCUAUAACUAAGUUGGAAUAUAGGAAAAGGCUGAGAGAAGGGUGCACUAUAGACCAUAUCAUUGAAAACAUUAUUAGUGAUUGAUAUUUCUGUUAAUUUUAGGCCUAAAAUAUCCAUGUCACGCGAAAGCUAUUAUAAGUACUUGUCACAUGACGUAUAAAUAAAAUAAUUUUGUUGGUAUAAUUGCUGUCACAGAUACAAAGAACUCAAAUCAAUAUCUAAAUGAUAGUGCAAAUUGCAUCAAAAUCAGUUAGCAGACGUUUUUUGUUUUUGUUACUUUUAAAUAUUUAAAAUAAGGAUAUAUGAUAUAUGUGUAAUUUAUAAAAGGGGAGAACUGUUAUAACAGCAACGACACUAAAAUUAUAUGUAAGAAUAAAUUGUCAUCUAUUGUAUAUACCGUUCAAUGAAUUCUUCUUCGUAUAAGUAGUAGUGUGUUAUUAACAUUGUUAUCAGAUGUUAUUAUUUAGAGAUCAUGGCAAAGAACAAAAAACGGAACAAAAUUGCUCAACCGAUUUCUGUCGAAAUGAAUUGUCAUAUUUAAUAAUAGCUUUUAUAAUAAGUACUAUUAAUUACUAGUGAGUUGUGAUUGAUUGGUGAAUGUCUCAUUCUAUUCGGAAAGUACACAAUGAUCAUCAAAUUUAUACGUACAUGACGUAACAUAUAAAACCUGGUCAGAACUGAGGAGAAGACAAGAUAUUUAUUAAUUCUAAUUCAUAAAUUUUAAGUUUUUAUUUCAUCACACACACACAUUUAAAUUGUCACAAUAAUUAUUUAGUUAGUGCCAAAGUAAUUUUAUACAUCCUCGAAUCUAACAAAAAUAUUUUUAAAUGGUAUGGAACAUAUUUUAUUAUUAUCAUUAAGCAUACCAAUACACGUUGUAUACAUUUAUUUUAACCCCCGACGACCCUAUAGGAGAUGUGAGUGGAGAGAAGUUAUAUGUUCUCCAUGUAUCAGUGGCAUCGUAGCAGCCAAAGGGCUGAACCAAUUUUAAUCUAGUUUUAAAAAAUGAAAGAGCAUCAAUCGAGAAUCUUCUCUUUGGAAACGGUCAGGUUCAACCGUUUGGAAAUCAGCAGCUCUUUUCUAGAAGAUGAGAUGAUGCCAGCAAAUAAGGAGGGGGCUUCUUAAAUUUAUAAAUUACUUUUAUUUGAUAUAUUGAUGACAGAAGCGAAUUAGGAUUUUUAACGUUAUUUCAAGUGUAAAGUCCGCGCCAAGAAAGACAAUGCACGUAUAGGGAGCUACAGCAGUAACACGGCCGAUAUGUCUUUGAUAGUUACACACAUGCCACAUUUAUUUUGUGGCGCGAACUCUAUAACCUUUUUUGAAUAAUUAAAAUAUGUCUUACAAUAUUC